AGAGAAGACUAGAUCUCAUUACUAUCUCCAACUGUCUAAGGAGGUUUAUAGAGAAAAAUGAGCCAAGCUCUUCUCUGAGAUGCACAAUUAAACAAGAAGCAACAGACUCAAACUGAAACAACAGAAAUUCUGACCGGAGAGGAUAAAAUGAUUCUUCACUCUUAUAACAGUUAAGCAGGGUGGCCAGAGAGACGGUGUGAACUAUUUCUAAACUAGUAUGUUAGACUGUCAAUAGGGGAACAGCACAAGAAUCUGAAAUCAGCAAGAGCAGCUCAAACAAGAGAAUCCACUGAAAGACUGCAUACAAGCUUUUGCAUCGGAAGUAGCUCCAUGUAUGAUAGAUCCAGUCUGCCCUUCGUAGUGCCUUCCCAUCCUCAUGCAUCUUCUGAACUGUGAUGUGCUCAUGGCUGGAGAUAUAAUGAAGCAGAACUUGGAAUUCCAUACCCUACAAUCACUCCUCUACUUGGUCUAAUCAAGGUAAGUGCAAUUUUUAAAGAAGCAUAUAAUUUAC